UACGAGAGGUGCAAGCGUUAUUCGGAAUUAUUGGGCGUAAAGGGCGCGUAGGCGGGUCAUUAAGUUUGUUGUUAAAUCCUCUGGCUUAACCAGAGACAAGCAAUAAAAACAUGGUAACCUAGAACGCGUGAGAGAGAGAAGUGGAAUUCCCGGAGUACGCGGUAAAAUGGCGAUAGAUCUCGGGAGGAACACCAAAUGGCGAAAGGCUGCUUCUUGGCUCAUUGCUGACGCUGAGGCGCGAAAGCGUGGGGAGCAAACAGG
rnacentral:rRNA from 1 species